rnacentral:rRNA from 1 species
UACAGAGGGUGCAAGCGUUGUUCGGAAUCAUUGGGCGUAAAGCGCGCGCAGGCGGUCCUUUAAGUCUGAUGUGAAAGCCCACGGCUCAACCGUGGAGGGUCAUUGGAAACUGGGGGGACUUGAGUGCAGGAGAGGGUAGUGGAAUUCCCGGUGUAGUGGUGAAAUGCGUAGAUAUCGGGAGGAACACCAGUGGCGAAGGCGACUACCUGGCCUGUUCUUGACGCUGAGGCGCGAAAGCUA